UAUCUCUGUAGAGUCUGCAUAUCAAUAAGCGGAGGAAAAGAAACUAACAAGGAUUCCCUUAGUAACGGCGAGUGAAGCGGGAAGAGCUCAAAUUUGAAAUCUUCAAGGUUUUACCUUGACGAAUUGUAGUUUAAAGAAGUGUUUUCUGUUGGAGUUUUGGUAAAAGUUCUUUGGAAUAGGACAUCAUAGAGGGUGAGAAUCCCGUAUUUGACCAUUAUUUCCAGCUUUGUGAUACACUUUCAAAGAGUCGGAUUGUUUGGGAAUGCAGUCCAAAAUGGGUGGUAAAUUUCAUCUAAAGCUAAAUACUGGCGAGAGACCGAUAGCGAACAAGUACCGUGAGGGAAAGAUGAAAAGAACUUUGAAAAGAGAGUUAAACAGUACGUGAAAUUGUCAAAAGGGAAGCGUUUGACACCAGUGUUGUUUUUCCGAAAAUCAAUUACGAAUGGCUUGAUUCUGUGUUGUAUUGACCUUAUCAGCUUUCUUCACUUUUUUCGAGUCUUUCUUAAUGCACUUUUCGGUUAACAAGUCAACAUCAAUUUCUUUUGUUGUAAAAGAGUAUUCGGAAGGUGGCUUUCUUUUCGGAGAAAGUGUUUAUAGCCCUAUACUUCUACAAUCGGAGAGAUUGAGGUCUGCAGCGUAGAUCCUUCGGGGUUAGAUACACUUGUGCUAAGUUGUAGCUUUUCAUAGACAACUUGUUGACUAUGUUUAGUCAUGCGGCUUACUCGCUUGUGCUAUUUUACCUACGCUUAGGAUGUUGAUCUGUAGUGCGUGCGC
rnacentral:rRNA from 1 species